AAUACGAACAACAGUUUAAACACCAAAGAAUUUGGCGGUGUCUUAACUAAUUAGGGGAACCUGUCCCUUAAAUCGAUAAUCCACGAAAACCUUACCUAGUUUUGAAACUCAGUUAGUGUACUGCCGUCUCAAGUAUACCUUUAUGAGAGUAUACAAUAACUAUUAAAUUAAUAUAACGUCAGGUCAAAGUGCAGCUUACAACUAGGGGUGAGAUGGGUUACAACCUAAAUAAAGAAUACGGAUAAGAAUAAUAAAUGUUCUUUGAAGGUGGACUUAACAGUAAUUACUUAUAAAAUAAUGAAAAAUAUAUAAGACAAGUACACAUCGCCGGUCGGCUC
rnacentral:rRNA from 1 species